rnacentral:rRNA from 1 species
AUACGAAGGGAGCAAGCGUUGUUGGGAAUAACUGGGCGUAAAGCGCACGUAGGCGGAAUGUUAAGUUAGAGGUGAAAUCCCAGGGCUCAACCCUGGAACGGCCUUUAAUACUGGCAAUCUAGAGACCGAGAGAGGUGAGUGGAAUUCCGAGUGUAGAGGUGAAAUUCGUAGAUAUUCGGAGGAACACCAGUGGCGAAGGCGGCUCACUGGCUCGGUACUGACGCUGAGGUGCGAAAGCGUGGGGAGCAAACAGGAUUAGAAACCCCAGUAGUCC